GAUGAACGCUGGCGGUAUGCCUAACACAUGCAAGUCGUACGAGAGUUUUUAACUCUAGUGGCGGACGGGUGAGUAACACGUGAGAAUUUGCCUUUAGGAGGGGGAUAACAAUUGGAAACGAAUGCUAAUACCCCAUAUGCUUUCGAGUGAAAUGGAUUUUAUCCGCCUAGAGAGAAGCUCGCGGCUGAUUAGCUUGUUGGUAAGGUAAGAGCUUACCAAGGCGACGAUCAGUAUCUGGUUUGAGAGGACGAUCAGACACACUGGAACUGAGACACGGUCCAGACUCCUACGGGAGGCAGCAGUGGGGAAUUUCCGCAAUGGGCGAAAGCCUGACGGAGCAAUACCGCGUGAGGGAAGAAUGCCUAUGGGUUGUAACCUACUUUUUCUAGGGAGGAAGUAAAAUAGACGUGUACCU
rnacentral:rRNA from 1 species